rnacentral:rRNA from 1 species
GACGAACGCUGGCGGCGUGCCUAAUACAUGCAAGUAGAACGCACAGUUUAUACCGUAGCUUGCUACACCAUAAACUGUGAGUUGCGAACGGGUGAGUAACGCGUAGGUAACCUGCCUGGUAGCGGGGGAUAACUAUUGGAAACGAUAGCUAAUACCGCAUAAUAUUAAUUAUUGCAUGAUAAUUGAUUGAAAGCUGCAAUUGCAUCACUACCAGAUGGACCUGCGUUGUAUUAGCUAGUAGGUGAGGUAACGGCUCACCUAGGCGACGAUACAUAGCCGACCUGAGAGGGUGAGCGGCCACACUGGGACGGAGACACGGCCCAGACUCCUACGGGAGGCAGCAGUAGGGAAUCUUCGGCAAUAGACGAAAGUCUGACCGAGCAACGCCGCGUGAGUGAAGAAGGUUGUCGGAUCGUAAAGCUCUGUUGUAAGAGAAGAACGGGUGUGAGAGUGGAAAGUUCACACUGUGACGGUAUCUUACCAGAAAGGGACGGCUAACUACGUG